rnacentral:rRNA from 1 species
AACGAACGCUGGCGGCGUGGAUAAGACAUGCAAGUCGAACGCUGGCUUAAAGGUAGCAAUAUUUUUAAGUCGGAGUGGCGCAAGGGUGCGUAACACGUGGGUAAUCUACCGUGAAGUUGGGAAUAACUUGCCGAAAGGUAAGCUAAUACCGAAUGUGGCCUCUGGAAGGCAUCUUUCAGAGAUCAAAGCUGGGGACCGUAAGGCCUGGCGCUUCAUGAUGAGCCCGCGGCCUAUCAGCUUGUUGGUGAGGUAACGGCUCACCAAGGCGAAGACGGGUAGCUGGUCUGAGAGGACGAUCAGUCACACUGGAACUGAGACACGGUCCAGACACCUACGGGUGGCAGCAGUCGAGAAUCUUUCUCAAUGGGCGAAAGCCUGAAGGAGCGACGCCGCGUGGGGGAUGAAUGGCUUCGGCUAGUAAACCCCUGUCAUUUGCGAACAAAUGUUACUGUUUAAUAGAUGGUAACUUGAGGGUAGCGAAAGAGGAAGGGACGGCUAACUCUGUGCCAGCAGCCGCGGUAAUACAGAGGUCCCGAGCGUUGUUCGGAUCCACUGGGCGUAAAGGGUGCGUAGGUGGUACGGUAAUGUUUGAUGUGAAAGCUCCGAGCUCAACUCGGAAAAUGCAUUAAAAACUAUCGAAC